rnacentral:rRNA from 1 species
GACGAACGCUGGCGGCGUGCUUAACACAUGCAAGUCGAACGAAGAGCGAUGGAAGCUUGCUUCUAUCAAUCUUAGUGGCGAACGGGUGAGUAACGCGUAAUCAACCUGCCCUUCAGAGGGGGACAACAGUUGGAAACGACUGCUAAUACCGCAUACGAUCUAAUCUCGGCAUCGAGGAUAGAUGAAAGGUGGCCUCUACAUGUAAGCUAUCACCGAAGGAGGGGAUUGCGUCUGAUUAGCUAGUUGGAGGGGUAACGGCCCACCAAGGCGAUGAUCAGUAGCCGGUCUGAGAGGAUGAACGGCCACAUUGGGACUGAGACACGGCCCAGACUCCUACGGGAGGCAGCAGUGGGGAAUCUUCCGCAAUGGACGAAAGUCUGACGGAGCAACGCCGCGUGAGUGAUGACGGCCUUCGGGUUGUAAAGCUCUGUUAAUCGGGACGAAAGGCCUUCUUGCGAAUAGUGAGAAGGAUUGACGGUACCGGAAUAGAAAGCCACGGCUAACUACGUG